rnacentral:rRNA from 1 species
CCUACGGGAGGCAGCAGUGGGGAAUAUUGGACAAUGGGCGCAAGCCUGAUCCAGCAAUGCCGCGUGGAUGAUGAAGGCCUUCGGGUUGUAAAGUCCUUUCGCACGCGACGAUGAUGACGGUAGCGUGAGAAGAAGCCCCGGCUAACUUCGUGCCAGCAGCCGCGGUAAUACGAAGGGGGCUAGCGUUGUUCGGAAUUACUGGGCGUAAAGGGCGCGCAGGCGGCACGGCAAGUCAGGCGUGAAAGCCCCGGGCUCAACCCGGGAGGUGCGCUUGAUACUGCCGAGCUCGAGUUCGGGAGAGGAUGGUGGAAUUCCCAGUGUAGAGGUGAAAUUCGUAGAUAUUGGGAAGAACACCGGUGGCGAAGGCGGCCAUCUGGACCGAAACUGACGCUGAGGCGCGAAAGCGUGGGGAGCAAACAGGAUUAGAUACCCUAGUAGUC